UAUCUCUGUAGAGUCUGCAUAUCAAUAAGCGGAGGAAAAGAAACUAACAAGGAUUCCCUUAGUAACGGCGAGUGAAGCGGGAAGAGCUCAAACUUGAAAUCUUCAAGGUUCUACCUUGACGAAUUGUAGUUUAUAAGAAGUGUUUUCUGUUAGUAGGAGUGGCAAAAGUUCUUUGGAAUAGGACAUCAUAGAGGGUGAGAAUCCCGUAUUUGGUCAUUCCUUUCUAGCUUUGUGAUACACUUUCAACGAGUCGGAUUGUUUGGGAAUGCAGUCCAAAAUGGGUGGUAAAUUUCAUCUAAAGCUAAAUAUUGGCGAGAGACCGAUAGCGAACAAGUACCGUGAGGGAAAGAUGAAAAGAACUUUGAAAAGAGAGUUAAACAGUACGUGAAAUUGUCAAAAGGGAAGCGUUUGACACCAGUGUUGUUUUUCCGAAAAUCAAUUACGAAUGUUUUGUUUUUAAGAAGUUAUGACUUCAUCGGCUUGCUUCUUUCUUUACGAAACUUUCUUAAUGCACUUUUCGGUUAACAAGUCAACAUCAAUUUCUUUUGUUGUAAAAGGGUAUGAGGAAGGUGGCUUUCUUUUCGGAGAAAGUGUUUAUAGCCUUGUGCCUCUGCAAUCGGAGAGAUUGAGGUCUGCAGCGUAGAUCCUUCGGGGUUAGAUACAUUUGUGCUAAGUUAUAGCUUUUCAUAGACAACUUGUUGACUAUGUUUAGUCCUGUAGCUUACUCGCUUAUGCUAUUUUACCUACGCUUAGGAUGUUGACGCAUGAGAUAUACGC
rnacentral:rRNA from 1 species